rnacentral:rRNA from 1 species
UACGUAGGGGGCAAGCGUUGUCCGGAUUUAUUGGGCGUAAAGAGCUCGUAGGCGGCUGUCUAAGCAGGGUGUGAAAGCCCCCGGCUCAACCGGGGAAUUGCGUUCUGAACUGGACGGCUGGAGUGGGAUAGGGGUGUGUGGAACUUCCGGUGGAGCGGUGAAAUGUGUUGAUAUCGGAAGGAACGCCGGUGGCGAAAGCGACACACUGGGUCUCAACUGACGCUGAGGCACGAAAGCCAGGGGAGCGAACGGG